rnacentral:rRNA from 1 species
GUAACACUAACUGGAGGACCGAACCCACUGUCGUUGAAAAGCCAGGGGAUGACUUGUGGAUAGGGGUGAAAGGCUAAUCAAACUCGGUGAUAGCUGGUUCUCCCCGAAAGCUAUUUAGGUAGCGCCUCGGACGAAUACCAUUGGGGGUAGAGCACUGUUUCGGCUAGGGGGUCAUCCCGACUUACCAAACCGAUGCAAACUCCGAAUACCUAUGAGUACUAUCCGGGAGACAGACUGCGGGUGCUAACGUCCGUAGUCAAGAGGAAAACAAUCCAGACCGCCAGCUAAGGCCCCAAAAUCAUAGUUAAGUGGGAAACGAUGUGGGAAGGCAUAGACAGCUAGGAGGUUGGCUUAGAAGCAGCCACCCUUUAAAGAAAGCGUAAUAGCUCACUAGUCGAGUCGGCCUGCGCGGAAGAUGUAACGGGGCUAAAACUAUGUGCCGAAGCUGCGGAUUUGACAUUAGUCAAGUGGUAGGGGAGCGUUCUGUAAGCCGAAGAAGGUGGAUUGAGAAGUCUGCUGGAGGUAUCAGAAGUGCGAAUGCUGACGUGAGUAACGACAAAACGGGUGAAAAACCCGUUCGCUGAAAGACCAAGGGUUCCAGUCCAACGUUAAUCGGGGCUGGGUGAGUCGACCCCUAAGGCGAGGCCGAGAGGCGUAGUCGAUGGGAAAUUGGUUAAUAUUCCAAUACUUCAGUGUAAUGCGAUGAGAGGACGGAGAAGGUUAAGUCAGCCUGGCGUUGGUUGUCCAGGUGAAAGGAAGUAGGCAUGCAUCUUAGGCAAAUCCGGGGUGCUCUAUGCUGAGAUCUGAUAGCAAGCUGUACUUGUACAGUGAAGUGGCUGAUACCCUGCUUCCAGGAAAAGUCUCUAAGCUUCAGUUACACUGGAAUCGUACCCGAAACCGACACAGGUGGUCAGGUCGAGUAGACCAAAGCGCUUGAGAGAACUCUGCUGAAGGAACUAGGCAAAAUGGUACCGUAACUUCGGGAGAAGGUACGCUGUUGAUGGUGAUAGGACUCGCUCCUUGAGCUGUCGACAGCCUCAGAAACCAGGCCGCUGCAACUGUUUAUUAAAAACAUAGCACUCUGCAAACACGAAAGUGGACGUAUAGGGUGUGAUGCCUGCCCGGUGCUGGAAGGUUAAUUGAUGGGGUUAGCGUAAGCGAAGCUCUUGAUCGAAGCCCCAGUAAACGGCGGCCGUAACUAUAACGGUCCUAAGGUAGCGAAAUUCCUUGUCGGGUAAGUUCCGACCUGCACGAAUGGCAUAAUGAUGGCGGCGCUGUCUCCAGCAGAGGCUCAGUGAAAUCGAAUUCGCCGUGAAGAUGCGGUGUACCCGCGGCUAGACGGAAAGACCCCGUGAACCUUUACUGCAGCUUGACAUUGAACUUUGACCUUACUUGUGUAGGAUAGGUGGGAGGCUUUGAAACUUGGACGCUAGUCCGAGUGGAGCCGUCCUUGAAAUACCACCCUGGUAAUGUUGAGGUUCUAACUCUGUCCCGUUAUCCGGGACGAGGACCAUGUCUGGUGGGUAGUUUGACUGGGGCGGUCUCCUCCUAAAGAGUAACGGAGGAGUACGAAGGUGCGCUCAGCGUGGUCGGAAAUCACGCGUAGAGUAUAAAGGCAAAAGCGCGCUUAACUGCGAGACCCACAAGUCGAGCAGGUACGAAAGUAGGUCUUAGUGAUCCGGUGGUUCUGUAUGGAAGGGCCAUCGCUCAACGGAUAAAAGGUACUCUGGGGAUAACAGGCUGAUACCGCCCAAGAGUUCAUAUCGACGGCGGUGUUUGGCACCUCGAUGUCGGCUCAUCUCAUCCUGGGGCUGAAGCAGGUCCCAAGGGUAUGGCUGUUCGCCAUUUAAAGAGGUACGCGAGCUGGGUUUAGAACGUCGUGAGACAGUUCGGUCCCUAUCUACCGUGGGCGCUGGAAAUUUGAGAGGAUCUGCUCCUAGUACGAGAGGACCAGAGUGGACGAACCUCUGGUGUACCGGUUGUGACGCCAGUCGCAUCGCCGGGUAGCUAUGUUCGGAAGGGAUAACCGCUGAAAGCAUCUAAGCGGGAAGCCUACCUCAAGAUAAGAUUUCCCCGAGGCUUUAUGCCUCCUAAAGAGCCGUUGAAGACUACGACGUUGAUAGGUUGGAUGUGGAAGCAUAGCGAUAUGUGAAGCUGACCAAUACUAAUUGCUCGUGAGGCUUGACUAU